AUUGAACGCUGGCGGAAUGCUUUACACAUGCAAGUCGAACGGCAGCACGGGAGCUUGCUCCUGGUGGCGAGUGGCGAACGGGUGAGUAACAUAUCGGAACGUAUCCAAUAAUGGGGGAUAACUAAUCGAAAGGUUGGCUAAUACCGCAUACGCCCCGAGGGGGAAAGCUGGGGAUCUUCGGACCUAGCGUUGAUGGAGCGGGCGAUAUCUGAUUAGCUAAUUGGUGGAGUAAAGGCUCACCAAGGCGACGAUCAGUAGCCGGUCUGAGAGGACGACCAGCCACACUGUAACUGAGACACGGUCCAGACUCCUACGGGAGGCAGCAGUGUGGAAUUUUGGACAAUGGGCGCAAGCCUGAUCCAGCCAUUCCGCGUGAGUGAAGAAGGCCUUCGGGUUGUAAAGCUCUUUCGCAAGGGAAGAAACGAUAGUGACGAAUAAUCACUGUUAAUGACGGUACCUUGAUAAGAAGCACCGGCUAACUACGUGCCAGCAGCCGCCGUAAGAC
rnacentral:rRNA from 1 species